rnacentral:rRNA from 1 species
CACGUAGGGGGCGAGCGUUGUCCGGUUUUAUUGGGCGUAAAGAGCUCGUAGGCGGCUUGGUAAGUCGGGUGUGAAAACUCCGAGCUCAACUCGGAGACGCCAUCCGAUACUGCCAUGGCUAGAGUCCGGUAGGGGAGCGCAGAAUUCCUGGUGUAGCGGUGAAAUGCACAGAUAUCAGGAGGAAUACCGAUGGCGAAGGCAGCGCUCUGGGCCGGUACUGACGCUGAGGAGCGAAAGCGUGGGUAGCGAACAGG